CGAGUCCGAGUCUCCACGGAGACGAAGUGGCGGUCAUCCAGCUUCCUAGAAAAGCUCUAACCACGUUAAUCUUUAGUUGCCUGUACCCGAAACCGACACAGGUAGGGGGGUAGAGAAUACCAAGGGGCGCGAGAUAACUCUCUCUAAGGAACUCGGCAAAAUGACCCCGUAACUUCGGGAGAAGGGGUACCACUGAGAAGUGGUCGCAGUGAAGAGGCCCAGGCGACUGUUUACCAAAAACACAGGUCUCCGCCAAGUCGCAAGACGAAGUAUGGGGGCUGACGCCUGCCCAGUGCCGGAAGGUUAAGGAAGUGGGUUAGGGAUUCGUCCCGAAGCUGACGACUGAAGCCCCGGUGAACGGCGGCCGUAACUAUAACGGUCCUAAGGUAGCGAAAUUCCUUGUCGGGUAAGUUCCGACCCGCACGAAAGGCGUAACGAUCUGGGCGCUGUCUCGGAGAGAGGCUCGGCGAAAUAGGAUUGUCUGUGAAGAUACGGACUACCUGCACCUGGACAGAAAGACCCUAUGAAGCUUUACUGUAGCUUGGAAUUGGGUUCGGGCUUGGUUUGCGCAGGAUAGGUGGGAGGCGAAGAAGAUUUGCUUGUGGGUGAAUCUGAGCCAACGGUGAGAUACCACUCUAACCAGGCUAGAAUUCUAACUUCAACCCGUCAACCGGGGGAAGGACAGUUUCAGGUGGGCAGUUUGACUGGGGCGGUCGCCUCCUAAAAGAUAACGGAGGCGCACAAAGGUUCCCUCAGGCUGGUUGGAAAUCAGCCAACGAGUGCAAAGGCAGAAGGGAGCUUGACUGCGAGACCUACAAGUCAAGCAGGGUGGAAACACGGUCUUAGUGAUCCGACGGCACCGAGUGGAAGGGCCGUCGCUCAACGGAUAAAAGUUACUCUAGGAUAACAGGCUGAUCUCCCCCAAGAGUUCACAUCGACGGGGAGGUUUGGCACCUCGAUGUCGGCUCAUCGCAACCUGGGGCGGAAGUACGUCCCAAGGGUUGGGCUGUUCGCCCAUUAAAGCGGUACGUGAGCUGGGUUCAGAACGUCGUGAGACAGUUCGGUCCAUAUCCGGUGUAGGCGCAAGAACAUUGAGAGGAGUCUUCCUUAGUACGAGAGGACCGGGAAGAACACACCGCUGGUGUACCUGUUAUCGUGCCAACGGUAAACGCAGGGUAGCCAAGUGCGGAGUGGAUAACCGCUGAAAGCAUCUAAGUGGGAAGCCCACCUCAAGAUGAGUGUUCUCAUGGAGUAAUCCAGUAAGGUCACGGGAAGACGACCCGUUGAUAGGCGGUAGGUGGAAGUUCAGCAAUGGAUGAAGCCGAGCCGUACUAACAGACCGAGGGCUUGAC
rnacentral:rRNA from 1 species